rnacentral:lncRNA from 1 species
AAAGGAACCUCUAGAUAUAGUUAACAUGUGAUUCAGUCCCUCUAUCGUGAGUCUCGACUAGAUGGCAAGUCAUGGAUAAAUCGUCAAAACUCAACAUCAGUCAUAUGAUAAAUUUAAUUAGCUCAAAUCCAGUUGUGACUUCUAUGGAAACUCUUUUUCAUCAAUCACACUACUAUGGCCAUAGACUCUUGGACUUAGCCUUUUAAAUCUCAUAGGACUACUCCUCUCUAUCA